AUUGAACGCUGGCGGCGUGCUUAACACAUGCAAGUCGAGCGGUAACGCGGGGGCAACCCUGGCGACGAGCGGCGAACGGGUGCGUAAUGCAUGGGAAUCUGCCUAGUAGUGGGGAAUAACCCGGGGAAACUCGGGCUAAUGCCGCAUACGACCUACGGGUGAAAGCGGGGGAUCGCAAGACCUCGCGCUAUUGGAUGAGCCCAUGUCGGAUUAGCUAGUUGGUAGGGUAACGGCCUACCAAGGCGACGAUCCGUAGCUGGUCUGAGAGGACGGCCAGCCACACUGGGACUGAGACACGGCCCAGACUCCUACGGGAGGCAGCAGUGGGGAAUAUUGGACAAUGGGGGAAACCCUGAUCCAGCGACGCCGCGUGUGUGAAGAAGGCCUGCGGGUUGUAAAGCACUUUCGAUGGGAACGAAAUGUGCCGACCUAAUACGUCGGCAAGCUGACGUUACUCAAUGAAGAAGCACCGGCUAACUCUGUGCCAGCCGCCGCAGUAAAAC
rnacentral:rRNA from 1 species